rnacentral:rRNA from 1 species
AUACGGAGGGGGCUAGCGUUGUUCGGAAUUACUGGGCGUAAAGCGCAUGUAGGUGGUGUGGCAAGUUAGAGGUGAAAGGCCUGGGCUCAACCUGGGAACUGCCUUUAAUACUGUCACGCUAGAGUUCGGGAGAGGGUAGCGGAAUUCCAAGUGUAGAGGUGAAAUUCGUAGAUAUUUGGAAGAACACCGGUGGCGAAGGCGGCUACCUGGACCGACACUGACACUGAGAUGCGAAAGCGUGGUGAGCGAACAGGAUUAGAUACCCUAGUAGUCC